rnacentral:ribozyme from 1 species
UUCUUGUAUUGCUCUGUUAAUGGGGUAGGAUCCGAGACUCCUUUCGGGGUUACACAGGCUCUCCUGCCCAACUCCUAUUCCGACACAUUCUCGUCGUACAGACGUUAAACCGAACUGCCACGA